rnacentral:rRNA from 1 species
GAUGAACGCUGGCGGCGUGCCUAAUACAUGCAAGUCGAGCGAACAGACGAGGAGCUUGCUCCUCUGACGUUAGCGGCGGACGGGUGAGUAACACGUGGAUAACCUACCUAUAAGACUGGGAUAACUUCGGGAAACCGGAGCUAAUACCGGAUAAUAUAUUGAACCGCAUGGUUCAAUAGUGAAAGACGGUUUUGCUGUCACUUAUAGAUGGAUCCGCGCCGCAUUAGCUAGUUGGUAAGGUAACGGCUUACCAAGGCAACGAUGCGUAGCCGACCUGAGAGGGGAACCGCCAAACUGGAAAUGGAGAACGGGCCAAACUCCUAAGGGGGGCACGAGUGGGGAAUUUUGGCCAAUGGGGGCAAGGCUGAACGGGCCAAACCCCGUGGGGGAAGAAGGGUUUUGGGUUGUAAAACCCUUUUUUUGGGGAAAAAAAAAAUGUGAAAAAAACACUGCCGUUCUGAGGGUACCCAAAGAAAAAAGCCGGGGUAACUUCGUG